rnacentral:rRNA from 1 species
GACGAACGCUGGCGGCGUGCCUAACACAUGCAAGUCGAGCGGGGUUGAGGCGAGAGGUAACUCGAACUUCUACCUAGCGGCGGACGGGUGAGUAACGCGUGGGCAACCUGCCUCAAGGUUUGGGAUAACAGCCCGAAAGGGCUGCUAAUACCGGAUAUGCCUAUGGCCUCGCAUGGGGCUAUGAGCAAAGGGGAAACCCGCCUUGAGAUGGGCCCGCGUCCCAUCAGCUAGUUGGUGAGGUAACAGCUCACCAAGGCGACGACGGGUAGCCGGCCUGAGAGGGUGACCGGCCACACUGGGACUGAGACACGGCCCAGACUCCUACGGGGGGCAGCAGUGGGGGAUCUUGCACAAUGGGCGAAAGCCUGAUGCAGCGACGCCGCGUGAGCGAAGAAGGCCUUCGGGUUGUAAAGCUCUGUCUGGAGGGACGAACAAAAUGACGGUACCUCCGGAGGAAGCCACGGCUAACUACGUGCCAGCAGCCGCGGUAAUACGUCUA